CCUACGGGAGGCUGCAGUGGGGAAUAUUGGACAAUGGGCGCAAGCCUGAUCCAGCAACGCCGCGUGGAGGACGAAGGUCUUCGGAUUGUAAACUCCUGUCAGGUGGGACGAAGGUCUGAGGGCAAACAGCUUUCAGGCUUGACGGUACCACCAGAGGAAGCCCCGGCUAACUCCGUGCCAGCAGCCGCGGUAAUACGGGGGGGGCUAGCGUUAUUCGGAAUCAUUGGGCGUAAAGGGCGCGUAGGCGGCACGGUAAGUCAAAGGUGAAAUCCCUCGGCUCAACUGAGGAACUGCCUUUGAAACUGCCGAGCUUGAGUCCGGGAGGGGGUAGCGGAAUUCCCAGUGUAGCGGUGAAAUGCGUAGAUAUUGGGAGGAACACCAGUGGCGAAGGCGGCUACCUGGACCGGUACUGACGCUGAUGCGCGAAAGCGUGGGGAGCAAACAGGAUUAGAUACCCUAGUAGUC
rnacentral:misc_RNA from 1 species